GACAGAGGUCCCAAGCGUUAGGCGGAAUCACUGGGCUUAAAGCGUGUGUAGGCGGAUGCCUAAGUACCUUGUGAAAUCCCACGGCUCACCCGUGGAACUGCUUGGUAUACUGGGUGUCUUGAGCCACUUAGGGGCUACCGGAACAAAUGGUGGAGCGGUAAAAAUGCGUAGAUAUCAUUUGGAACGCCAAUGGUGAAAACAGGUAGCUGGGAGUGUGCUGACGCUGAGACACGAAAGCCAGGGGAGCAAACGGG
rnacentral:rRNA from 1 species